UCUUAACUCUAGAGCAUUUAUUGGUAGGCCUCAUUAUAAAUUUCCUUCAAAUACAAGAAUAAUAAUACAGCAUUAUAUUAUUCAUGGACGUCUAAAACAAUGCUUCCAUCAUCAUGCACUCCUAUAACUUCGUAUUUGUUGUAUAUCUAUAUUAUUGUAAAACUAUAUCACAACUUUUUUUUAAAUUUUAUGUACUAUAUAUUAACUGACAUAUAGCUAUCGUUUGAAUUUAAUAUUUGCUGUAAUAGGGGCCUUGCACUAAAAACUUCUUAAAGUUUCUUAAAGGCUCCUAGCUCUAGUAUUCAACUGACGUUAUACUGUAUAUUCUAUCUUAAUUAUGUAAAUAGGGCGAAUUUUUAAAUUAAAAAAAAAAAAUAAUGAUCCUGUUCUGCUGGUUUAUUCAUAGAUUCUCCAUGUAUCUUAAUACUGUUUUAUGGUCGUUUCGUCCCCUUGUUGUUUCGCCCCCUCUCCGUUUCGUCCCCUUUACGUUUCGUCCCCACAUUAGAUACCGUUUUAUCUAUAAACCACUUUAUAUUACUUUUUCUAUGAACUAUAUAUACAUAGGAUAUAUUUAUAUUUGUUUCUACUUUGAUCACUCAUAAUUUUGUCAUCAUGUCACUAUUAUAAACAAUACGAUGACCGAAACGAAACGGUCCCACGUGUAUUAUCCAGGCAUACAAUCCACUGAGAUACAAUCUCAUAAAACAGAAUUAUGAUCAAUACAAGAAAGUGUUGCAUCCAUAACAGAAUAAAAAAGCUUGCUGUCACUGAGUCAUGCAGUCAGGGCCGCGUUUACACAACUCGAGGCCUGUGGCAUUUUCUUCGCGCGGGGCCUCAAAUUUUUGCCUUAUAGACUAUAACCUGGAAAUUUACUUCGUUUUAAGCAUAAAUCAUAUAGCGACGUGGCGUUCGCUUUCCAUAUAGCAACUCUAAAGUCUGAGACAAAAUUAGAGACUUGGUAUUUGAAAUUAAC